rnacentral:rRNA from 1 species
UGAGGAAUAUUGGUCAAUGGGCGAGAGCCUGAACCAGCCAAGUAGCGUGCAGGACGACGGCCCUAUGGGUUGUAAACUGCUUUUGUAUGGGGAUAAAGUCAAUCACGUGUGAUUGUUUGCAGGUACCAUACGAAUAAGGACCGGCUAAUUCCGUGCCAGCAGCCGCGGUAAUACGGAAGGUCCAGGCGUUAUCCGGAUUUAUUGGGUUUAAAGGGAGCGUAGGCCGUGGAUUAAGCGUGUUGUGAAAUGUAGACGCUCAACGUCUGAAUUGCAGCGCGAACUGGUUCACUUGAGUAUGCACAACGUAGGCGGAAUUCGUCGUGUAGCGGUGAAAUGCUUAGAUAUGACGAAGAACUCCGAUUGCGAAGGCAGCUUACGGGAGCACAACUGACGCUGAAGCUCGAAGGUGCGGGUAUCAAACAGGAUUAGAUACCCUGGUAGUCCGCACAGUAAACGAUGGAUGCCCGUUGUUAGUUCACUUAUGAAUUAGCGACCAAGCGAAAGCAUUAAGCAUCCCACCUGGGGAGUACGCCGGCAACGGUG